rnacentral:lncRNA from 1 species
UGCGACUUGGUAUUUCGUAAAAAAAUUUAUGCCAAAAAAUUGCUCUCGUAUUGCUCUUAAUUGCUCUCUAUUUUUGAAGUGAAAACUUCUUUAGCACCGUUGGUGAAAACUUCUCAAGCACGGGAGUGAAUCGAAACUCGAUGAAACGAAAUGAAACGACUAACGAUGAAACGGAAAUGCAAGACUUAACUUAAUUAGCGCCGCAGUGAUUUGAAACUCGAUGAAACGAAAUGAAACGACUAUCGAUGAAACAAGUUAGACCGAGGCGAAUCGGAUCAAUGGGUGAAUCGGAUCAAAAUAAGAAAUCCGUUAAUAUUUUGAACAACGCAUAGACACAGAAAACAAACGACUGGCGUCUUACGACCCCCUCUCGCCCCGCACCUCCAGCAAUCGGUAGUAUUUGGUUUCGGCUAGUCCAUCAGUGUCAGCGCUUCUCGAGAGUGAGUCCGGGUGUUUGUAUGCGUCACAAUUUUGGCGCUCAUCUAAGAUGGUUCGCACCUACAAAAGAAAAACAAUGAUGCUAAGAAAAAACUUAAGACUGACAAAAAAUGUGAUUUAUGUGCUUGUAAUUAAUAUUGAUCGCAUUAUUCAUUAUAUUUAAGUUUUAUUAAUGAUUCCAAAGCUUAUAGUGUUAAAAACAUUUAAUUUAAUUAAAUGUUAUUUAUGAUCCCAUUCGCCCCGAGAAUUGGGGCGAUUCGGACAUUUCUGUCUUUUAAGUUUUUGGUUUAUAUUUUGGAGAAUUUAUCGACAAUUUAAGUUUUAAAAUGUUUAUUGCGUAGCUGGAUUGUACCGAUUACCAUUGUGUCAAUAAAAGUUACAUAUAUUUCACUUUAGUAUGAUUUUCAUAUUCCUAAAAAAAAUUGAUCCGAUUCGCCUCGGUCUACCCUACCUGUUUACAGGUAAUAAACGAAUGAAAAUAAUUUUAUUUGACAUUUCACUUUACUGUAUGUGCAACAAUAUCAUUUCCUAAAGCUUCAAUCAGCUCCAAUCCUCCAAAAUGGUUGGACGUAAUAGAAAUAACCGGAAUUGGAAAUAAGGUUCCAUAAUUCAAUCGGUACAGUGAGUACAGUCGAUAGAGUAUGAAAAUGCACACGCAUUCGAUAACGCGUGCAUUUCUCGUGAAUUAUCUGAUGGUAAAUUAAUGUUUUUAUAUUAUGUAAUACAAUAAAAUUUUCCAAACGUUGAGUUUAUCACAGACGUGUUUCCCAAACGAUUUCGACUUAAAUGUGGACAACAUUUUUCUUUUGUUUCAAUUAUACCUGCUAACUACAUGCUCGAUAGAUUUUUAUUAAUAACGAAUACAGUAUCAUUUCCUAAACUAUAAAACUACAUUCCUAAACUUGUCCAAACAAUUCCCAAAUGACUGCAUUGAUAAAAAAUCAAGAUAGUUUUAUUUGCCUGCCAACUAUACGGAGCCACUACCGUUUCCUAUAAAUAAUAUCACCACUUGUCAAAGCGCUCUCUCGACUCGUGCCCCCAGACUUGCUAACUUGUUCACCGUUCAGUCCUGUGGCAUAAUUCUUUUGCUCGCCUGCAUUUAAAAUUCUGUUACUACGUUUUAAAAACUCCCAUUUCAUAUAACGUUACUUUUGGAUCGUGCCUCAGGUCCCACCUGUAGACUCUUGACCUUACCUGGUCUGUUGGUACUUUGUCAUUCGCGUAUAACGCUCCGAGUUCAAAAGCCGUCGUAGAAAUUCUGAUGAAAUAUUCUUUGUCACGAACUUAAAACAAUUCAUUUUGUUUCGAACAUUAGUUCUGGCCGAACAACUGUCAAUCUCUCCAUCCCAACUUUUAAAUUAAAUGAUUUGCUCUCAAAACCUUGUUUCCUCCACGUCAUCAUGGAAACAGAGCAACACCCAGCGGAGAUCUACAUUCCAAAAGUGCGUCUAACUGGGUGCUUUCCAUUUUCAUGACUUUUUUGUCGACUCGUGUCAACUCGUGUCGACUCUCGAAAACGAAUAAAUGGAACAUCACACAUUCGCGCGAGAGUUGAUGCGCACGACACAGUAAGGUUAGAAUGUGAAAAGCGUGGUUUCAACAAAUUUAAGCUUUGCGAUGGAAGAGGCUCUAUUAGCUAUCCUGAUGAGUGAAUCCAGUAGUAGUAGUAGCGGCAGCAAUAAUAGCAGCAGCAGCAGUUCAGAUUCUUCAAGCGAUGAUGGACGUGAACGACAGUGUGUGCGAAAUUUUCUCGAAACAGUUCAUGCUAAAAGCAAUGAGGAGUUUAAGGAAGAUUUCAGAUUGGAGCAACCAAUUGUUAACAUAUUAUUAGAAAGUUUAGAAGAAAUAGUGGAUUCAUUCCAACCCAUACCUUUGGAAAGGAAAAGAAACCUGCUGAAUUGUGUUUAUUAAUGACACUUUGGUUUCUCGGCAACAAAGAGUCACAUAGGUUACUGUCAAAUCUCUUUGAUAUUUCAUUUUCAUCUGUAUUUCGCAUAGUGCGAAGUCAUUAAUUGGCUCAUGGAAAUAACCUUGUGAGAAUAUCUGAGAGAUUUGAAAAUGUAGCAGGUAUUCGUGGUUGUAUUGGCGCAAUAGAUGAUUCUCAUAUUCAUAUUAAUAAGCCAGAAGGAAAUGGUUGGGUAUAUUUCAACAGGAGACAACAUUAUUCUAUUCUACUGCAAGCUGUGGUUCACUGUGAUCUAAAAUUCACGAAUUUAUAUUGCGGGGACCUGGGCUCUUUUCACGAUGCCAGAAUGAAGAAGAUCCGAUCUAUUUGUAGCAGCCGAACAGAAUCGCGAAAGAAUUUUUUCUAACAAUAGCUUUUUAUUAGGCGAUAAAGGAUAUAAUGGUGUAGCACAAACGUGGCUGGUUUGUCCUUUUCGGGACAACGGAAAUUUAACAGUUCAAGAAGAUGAGUUCAACACGAAAAUUUCUCAAACACGUGUAGUAGUCGAACGAGCCUUCGGCAUUCACAAGGGCCGUUUUCGUUUAUUGCAAAUGAUGCCACUUCGAGAUAUUCAAUUUAUGAUACACAUUGUUGUCGCAUGUUGCGUAUUGCACAAUAUUUGUUUUAUUAACGGAGAUAAUGGGGAAGGUUUCUUCAAUGACGAACUUGAUCAACAAUGGAAUGACAUAUCAGAUAAUGAAGAUGUAAAUGAGGACUGGGAUGUUCCACAAAGAGACCCAAGAAAUCUUCGGGGAUACUUGUUCAACAAUAUGUUUCCAGAAAAUCUGUAAUAGGAAAUUGAGAGUUGGAAUCCAACGAUAUUCCGAUGACUUGAUUUACUAAUAUAUAAAUGUAAGCAAUAGAUGUAUAAUUCAAAAUUUUUUCCGCUAAAUAUUUGACGGAACUUAUUUUUCCAAAAUUAUCAUAUGAACCCCACUUCAUCUUCAUGAAAUUGUAUAUUAUAUAAAUUUAAGCAAUAGAUGUAUAAUUUUAAAUGUAUAUGCUAAAGAUAUGAUGCUGCAUAUCUGUAAGUUAUAGUAGGGGUAUGAAUUGAGUAGAUUUUGUAUCAAAAGUUUUUUUUUUCUUUUGUUUUUGGGCAGAAACAAUAAUAUCAUCUUAGGGUUUAAGUACAUAAAAACUGGAUUGAUAAAACUAUAAGUAUUAAGUACAAGUAUGAAACUAUAGAUAUUAAAAUACUAUAAGUCGAUAACAAAACCAUAAAAUAUAUUUAAAGUCUUGAAGGAGUUGACCGUUUUAAUCAAUAAAGCACUCUAACUUAUAACAGUCUUGUUUUGAUCAAGAAUACAAUAACAGUAUAUGUUCAUAACUAUGAGUAUUAACUACAAGCAUGAAACUAUUGGUAUUAAA